rnacentral:rRNA from 1 species
AGCAGCCGCGGUAAUUCCAGCUCCAAUAGCGUAUAUUAAAGUUGUUGCAGUUAAAAAGCUCGUAGUUGAAUUUCGGGAUCAGAUUGUCGGUCGUGCCUCGGUACGCACUGGCAUUAUUGGUUCCUACCUUCUGAAGAACCGCGAUGUCAUUAAUUUGGUGUCGUGGGGAAUCAGGACUGUUACUUUGAAAAAAUUAGAGUGUUUAAAGCAGGCUUACGCUUGAAUACAUUAGCAUGGAAUAAUGAAAUAGGACGUUUGAUUCUAUUUUGUUGGUUUCUAGGAUUGACGUAAUGAUUAAUAGGGAUAGUUGGGGGCAUUAGUAUUCAAUUGUCAGAGGUGAAAUUCUUGGAUUUAUUGAAGACUAACUACUGCGAAAGCAUUUGCCAAGGAUGUUUUCAUUAAUCAAGAACGAAAGUUAGGGGAUCGAAGACGAUCAGAUACCGUCGUAGUCUUAACCAUAAACUAUGCCGACUAGGGAUCGGAUGAUGUUAAUUUUUAAUGACUCAUUCGGCGCCUUAAC